rnacentral:rRNA from 1 species
AUGAAUGGCCGCGGUACCUUGACCGNGCUAAGGUAGCGCAAUAAAUUGGCCUUUAAAUGAGGCCAUGUAUGAAUGGAAUCACGGAGUUUAGCUGUCUCUAGAAUUAAUUUAUUGNAAUUACUAUACAGGUGAAAAAGCCUGUUCUAAGAAAAAGGACGAGAAGACCCUUAGAGCUUUACUAAGUUGAAAAUUUUUUAUUUUCAAGACAGUUUUGUUGGGGCAACAUAGGAACACUGAAAUUUCCUUAAGUUUAAUUUACCGAUACUUAUAAAUUUGAAUAAGCUACCUUAGGGAUAACAGCAAAAUUUUAUAAAUUAGUUUGUGACCUCGAUGUUGGACUAGGAAACUGCUAGGCUAGCCGCUUAUUAGAUAAGUUCUGUUCGAAC